rnacentral:rRNA from 1 species
GACGAACGCUGGCGGCGUGCUUAACACAUGCAAGUCGAGCGGUAAGGCCCUUUCGGGGGUACACGAGCGGCGAACGGGUGAGUAACACGUGGGUGACCUGCCCUCAGCUCUGGGAUAAGCCUGGGAAACCGGGUCUAAUACUGGAUAUGACUCCAUGACGCAUGUUGUGGGGUGGAAAGCCUUGUGCGGCUGAGGAUGGGCCCGCGGCCUAUCAGCUUGUUGGUGGGGUGANGGCCUACCAAGGCGACGACGGGUAGCCGGCCUGAGAGGGCGACCGGCCACACUGGGACUGAGACACGGCCCAGACUCCUACGGGAGGCAGCAGUGGGGAAUCUUGCGCAA